UACGAAGGGGGCUAGCGUUGCUCGGAAUCACUGGGCGUAAAGGGUGCGUAGGCGGGUCUUUAAGUCAGGGGUGAAAUCCUGGAGCUCAACUCCAGAACUGCCUUUGAUACUGAGGAUCUUGAGUUCGGGAGAGGUGAGUGGAACUGCGAGUGUAGAGGUGAAAUGCGUAGAUAUCGUCAGGAAUGCCGGUGGUGAAGACGGGUGACUGGGCUGGUUCUGACACUGAGGCACGAAAGCGUGGGGAGCGAACGGG
rnacentral:rRNA from 1 species